UCCCAGGCAGGGAGAGGCCAGGAUGGGGUUGCAGACCAGGGAGAGAGUUACAAGUUCAAGUGCAAGAUUACAUGCUCCUUACCAAGAGGACGAGCUGAGAAUAAAGAACAGUAACCAAGCCGAGAGGAGUCAUCUGUAUGCUCCUGUAACAUUAACAGCACAUUGAUCCCAAAUGAGAGAAAACGUGAACAUGUGAAUAAAUCCACCCCUCUGCUUUCUUUUCACUGCCACUCUCCUUCUCUCUCCCUCCCACUAAAAGAUAUUCUUUCUGAAGCCACCCCCCUUCUCUCUCUCUCUCUCAAUCUGUCCUGUAUCCUUCACUCUCUCCUACUUAUGCACAUACUAAUAAACACCACUUUUCUUCAUCUCACAUCAGGUCGUCUUUUAGCGCACCGCUUUAAGAGCAUCUAGUAUUGCGGUUUCACCCGACGGGUGGAGAAACCGGCUCAAUGCGGCUCUCUCUCUCUAAGCUGUGUAUCACACACUGGGAUAGCCUGUUUCUCAUUGAGAGGCCCUUUUUUUCUUUUUUUUUUACUUGUAACACACAAGUCCCGCUCUCUUUACGGUGCAGGUUUCCCUCCCCCUCCCCUUCUUCUCUACACUUAUCUGUAAAGAAAGGAGGGAAGCGGAAGAGAGAGGUGUCUGUGAAGAGGAAUGAUGAAAAGGCACAGAGAGAGAGAGAGAGAGAGGGAAGGAGGGGGUAAAAGAAGAGAGCAGGACUGAGCAGAGUGGACUAGCAGAAACCUGAAAUAUGAGAGGGAGAAGAGUAAAGUAGGAGAGAAACCCGUGCGAGGAGAAACGAGGGAUGGCUGACCUGGAAGUGGGCAAAAUCGUGGGAAGAGAAGCCACCGUUUAAUUCCAACACUUGCUGGAGCUGGUAUGCAUCCUCCUCCUCAGGGACUACAGGUGUUCACUUCAUAUGAUAUGCCGCUCAAAGGAGGCCAGCUGGUCAGCGAUCAGGUUUCAACCAAACUCCUGGAUAUUUGGGGAAAAUUGGAUUACUUCCCCAUACUGUGCUCUCCUGAAGCAGAUGAGGUUUUACUGAAGCUCCUGGUUGAAUCGUGCGGAGGAUAAUGC